CCCUACCAGGCCAUUCUUACUUCUGCGCUGCUGCUGAUGGCGGCUCUGCCUUCAGAGCUGGGCUCCUGGCCAACAGCCGCUGCUCUCCAGCUGCCCAGCUCUGAAGGCAGUUCUGCCGCCAACAGCAGCCCAGAAAUAAGGGUGGCAAUGGGGCAUAG